AAAAAGAAGGGGAUAAGAUAGGUCACACCCAAAUUAGAACAAAAGUUUGAUCAAGUCAUUAUCAAAAUCAAUCAUCCAUUUUGGUGGAUUAGGAUUUUAACUCCAUCAACACCCAAGAUCCAUUGAGUUUGAUGAGACUUGAAGUCCAAAGCAUCAUGAUCCAUGGCCAACAGAAGUUCACAAGGAUUCACAAAUAUUUGCAAUUAAAUUAAAUAAAAAUGCAUCAAAAGUAUUUUUUUAAAUGAAUUUUAAAAUAGAAAUAAAAUGAAAAAUUC
rnacentral:lncRNA from 1 species